rnacentral:lncRNA from 1 species
GGCUUAAUUCAUUUUAUUUGAAGUUGUCUGCAAUUCCUGUUCAGAAGAUUUGAACUGAAGAUAAAUUAAAAUUAGACAUGACAGGCACUGAGUAACUUAAAUAUAAACACAGAUGAAGUUUCAACAAAUAUGAGCCUGCUACAAGUGAAAAGGUUUAUUGAAGUUAGGAAAACUUGCAUAAGAUUAAGAUGAUACCAUCCAUCUGCCUAAUAAUGACAAAUAGAUUUCAUCUCAUGUGACA